AGUUGCCGCUGUUUGUUCGCACGAGGAUGGACGGCAAGUUGGAGAUAAAUCAGAAUUAAAAAAAAAAUCACAUUCUUUCAAAUACUAUCUGUAUAGAGUCACUGAACGUAAGAACGUAAGAAACCGGAAAUCUGGGUACUUUUAUUGUGAUGAAGGCGGAAGUGGGCGAUGCCAUCAUGGCGGCUGGCUUGCUAGAUGUCAACAAGGGACAGGAGGACAAGAGGGACAUAGUUUAGUCGGAAUAAAUCACUCUUAAAUGUUCCAUUAGGGCGUCCAUCAUGGACGUACGCUAGCCGGACACUUUUAGGUCGCCUUUAAAGCCAGCCAGCCGAACUUAGCGGAGUUGCUGUGUCGCCGGGAGGGAAGUUGGUGUCGGCCAAGGCAGCGCCACAGGAAGCGCCAUGGAGGGCCGACACAUCCCGGACGACCCCGGCUCGGCCCUGGAGAAGAACGUGGCCGACCUGACCGUCAUGGACGUCUACGACAUCGCCGCGGCGGUGGGUCAGGAGUUCGAGCGGAUCAUCGACCAGUACGGCUGCGAGGCUCUUUCCCGCCUCAUGCCCAAGGUGGUGCGCGUGCUGGAGAUCCUGGAGGUGAUGGUCAGCCGCAACAGUAUCGGCCCGGAGACCGAGGAGCUGCGCCUGGAGCUGGACAAGCUCAGGCUGGAGAGGACGGAGAGGAUGGAAAAGGAGAAGAAGCACAGAAAGGAGUUGGAGCUGGUGGAGGACGUGUGGCGAGGCGAGGCUCAGGAUCUUCUCUCCCAGAUCGCUCAGCUGCAGGAGGAGAACAAAAGCCUCCUGAACAACAUGCCCACCCGAGACCCCCUGAGCGACGACGACCUGCAGCGUCACGAGGGCAUGAGCGAGAGGGAGAGGCAGGUGAUGAAGAAGCUGAAAGAGGUGGUGGACAAGCAGAGGGACGAGAUUCGGGCCAAGGACCGGGAGCUGACGUUGAAGAACGAGGACAUCGAGGCACUCCAGCAGCAGCAGUCUCGCCUGAUGAAGAUCAACCACGACCUUCGCCACAAGAUGUCGGUGGUGGAGGCGCAGGGCAAGGCGCUGAUCGAGCAGAAGGUGGAGCUGGAGGCCGGCGCUCAGACGCGGUGGCACGAAGUGGGCGCCCUCCGGCAGGAAGUGGCGCGCCUGCGGGAGCGGCUGCAGGGGCGCAUGCCCGCGGGGGACGCCCCGGCUCAGCCCCCGUCGCCUGCAGAGGAGGCGCUGUGCGAGGAGGAGACGGGGGCCCUGGACUCCAAAGACCCCAACAGGGCCAGGUUCACCCUGCAGGAGCUGCGGGACGUCCUCCACGAGAGGAAUGAACUCAAAGCCAAAGUCUUCCUGCUGCAGGAGGAGCUGGCCUAUUACAAGAGCGACGAAACCGAAGACCAGAUGGUCACGCCUAUUCCCAGUCCUUCGCCCGAGCUCAGGAGUCGCUCACACUCUUCGGUGCAGCAUGAAUCUGGAAUCAAACGCCUGAUCUUCACGGCCAUCAUGCCCAUGGUGGCGGCUGGUUUGAUCCAAGACGACCCCACUUUACUGCCAGCCAGACGCCUCUUGGCGCUUGCCAACUUGAUGGCCUAAGAGUGGACUUCACUGCAGUGUGAUGAGCAUGACCAUCAUAUGAAAGCAAAAAUACACACAUGUGAAGCGCAUGCCAAAGCAACAGGUGGCGCCAUAAUCCCUCACUGUACCUGUUUAACCUGUUUUCGCGUGACAAGCGUGGCGGGGGCGGCCUGUGGACGGCCAAAGACGACGCGUACACGGAGCAAGCGCAGGAGGCCUUGCCCCAUGUCUAGCCGGAGCACGUCAGGCGUGCGUCAUUGGAGGCAUUAUUGGGUUUGACCUUUGCACACAGACUUCUUACAUGUUAGCAAAAAGGCACCUUGCUUUUCAACACUUUUGCUCAACUGCAGAGAGUAGCAGGCGUUUGAGGGAAUGAAACACUAUAUGCUAGAAAUGCUAACCAAGUUUGGAAGGAUUUUGUUUUUAACGCUAUUUUAUGGACUGAAGCUUUGCGUUUAAGCUAAGCUAAUUGACGUGUAACUUAUGUGAAGGACUUUUUCACAGUAUUGGUGCCACCCGCUGACUGCUUUUAUAGGAUUUCAUUCGGCUAAAGAAGAAUAUUUCAUGUCCUGUGACGUAUAAAAAGAGCAGAAGAAGCAAGCUGAGGUCUUAUAUGCAUUUUUUUUUUUUAUUAUUGUCGUUUCAUUUCAUGUCAAACCCCAGCAUUAAGAUUUAUUCAACGCUACAGGAGCAGUUUGGUGUUAUUGCAAUAGUUCCAUGUCAAAUAAAGUCAACAAAAGACAUGUAGCAACCACACGAAACUCAAUAAUAUACUCAAAUAUCUUUUUAAGCACUUUCAAGGACAAUAUUGGUAGAAAAGUGGGCUUUGUGGCAAGGAGAAAUACCUGCUAUGUAGAAAAAUAAAAAAGCAUGUUCGACUUCUGUAUUGUUGGCUAACAGCUGGCUGGCUUGGCUUGGCUUAUCUUAGUAUAGCAUAGCAUAGCAUAGCUUUACAGCUUGUGUCAUCGCUUUACUCUUGCCAAUAACCAUCAUGUAAUCACGCUCCUUUCAAAUACUCACUGGACGCCCUUGGGCUAUUUUGUCCCGCAACUGCUACUAACAUCAAUAACAUAAAAACGGGACAAUUUGGUGGCGUUUAAAAGCGCUGGGAAGACUUUCAAUGCACGUCUAGUACGCACGUCGUUUUUAUCCAUCGUUUUAUCACGUUGCCAAGUCAUUACAAUUACGUUCAAGUCACAGCAGUUACAUAAAAUAAUAAUAAUGGAGAGGGUUGGGUUUUUUUAUGGAUGUUGUUGCCAAAAUGUACUAUGUGUUAAAUAUACACCUUAAAUUGUUAAAAUGUCCAACAAUUAUUUAAUUCAUGACACAUGUAGUCUGUGAUAAAUAGGUCUUGAAAUAAAUCAUUCGAGUUAAUUAUUUCAGAUUAUUAUAUUUUACCUAAUUUUAUAGUAUACAGUGAAUAAGUUAUAAUUAGAUUUCACAAUCAAUUCAUGAGCAAUUGAAUAAGUGAUUGACUUUUUAAAAAUUAAUUCUAUUUUCAUUGUUUAUAUUGAUUUGAUUUGAAGACAGGAAACCCCCUCCACAGCUUGUAUUUUUUCCUCAUAGCAUACAUGAUCCUAAAAAUCUAUCUUCACAAAUACCUAAAGAAGGGGAUCAUCAUGAAUUGAAUGCACCAUAAUCCGAACUCUUGAAAUAAAAAGAGGAGGAAGUGUUAAGAGUAUGUGAACGUUGCAAUGGUUAGAGUUGGUAGAAAAAGAAUGAAAGUCUAUGUAGAAAUAAAAAAAGAGCAUGUCUGUUCCACCUGUGAUAGAAGUCAAAGAUGGCGUCGUCUGUCAUGUCAACGCUGAUGGAACUCAACGCAGGUUUGACAAGGCCCUCAGGCCCUGCCCCUUCCUAUUUGUAACACAGUGUGGAAGGCGUUACCGUGUGUUGCAGUCAGUGUUUGAGCCACGGGUGGGCAUCGAUUGACGCCUUGCUGCGGUCGCCGUAGUCGUACAGCAGCUCCUCGCCCUCGUCGAUGUCCCGUGACGCCACCAGGAUGAGGUGCGGCACGCCCUCGAUGUCGUGGAGUUUGGUCUGGCAGUUGCCGUUCUUGCUGUGGUUGAUCAGCCGGCCCAGUCGGUCCGUUUCUUUGGUGGCGUCCACGCUGUCGGCGCGAAGGUGGGUUUUCAAGCCGUCAUGUCACCAAAACAAACAAGCAAGUGACAAAGGAGGGAGGAUGUUUACCAGUAGGCUUUGCAGAGGUACUGGAAGUAGUACAUGUAGCAGCCCGUUUCCGGGUUCUGGGCGUAUUCGGCCUCGCGCUUUUUGGCGUCCGUCAUCUCCAGGAGGUCGCCGUGGUACUCCACCACGUACUCGCCUUUCCGGAAGCUGCGCGCGGCGAACACGGCUCUGCCUUUUCCCUCGAUGUGCUGCAUCUUCAACACACACACACACACGCAUGCACAUGCAUAUGCACGCAUAUGCACACGUAUGCACGCAUGCACACGCACACACGUUACAAUGUUGCAAAUCCACAAAGAAAGCCAAUUUAUCUGUUGCAGGGUUAAACUGCAGCCAUCAUAAUAAUACCUGUAUGAACUGUUGUAAGUCACAUUUCAACAUUUUUUUCAUAAAAGUGUAAAAAGAAGUUAAAUUUGAACUUUUACACUCAUGUUGAUGGCUAAGAUUGACCGAAUGCGAGCAUUCGCAACACCACUCGCCUUCUUUGUGAUCUUACACGCUACCUUAAAAUCAGGGCUCCAGACUGCGACCAAACGGUGGCAUUUUGCGACUAAUAUGAGGCAUUGCGAGUGAAUUUUUCCAUCCACUGGCAUAAUGUGCAUGAUGGCACCGACGGGGCCUUCCAGACGCUAGGGACACAAACAAGGUGGAUAGACAAGACAGCUGUCAUUUACCAGCAAUGCAGCCAAAAUGCGAGGAAAUGUCAAUAUUUACUUUGCAAGUCCAUUUCGGUGUGCGCCCCAAUAAUUAAGUUGGGGGCACUGUGCUCCUAGUUUAAAAAAAAAAAAGAAAAAAAAAAGGUCAGUGUGGAGCCCUGACUUAAAUGCUACAAUCAACUCCUCUACGUCAUCAAGCACACAGUCUCCUACAGGCACUAUAGCGGCCGGGCGCGUGCUCUCAGUCAUUAUCACAUUAACAUUAACAGCUGUGGCUGUGGGCAACCUCCUGAUGUAGUUUCUUGUAUGGAGAAGAUGAUCUUUGCAAAAUAGCUGAAUUUCUGAUGGAACUCUUGUAUUGGAUGUAGGCAAAUGAAGUUCCAGCUGAGCGUGUGGUUAUUCUCCAUGUUUAAAGCAGAAAGGGCACAUGGUAGAAAGCUUUGCAGGUGAGUGUGAAGAACAUCCAUACCUGCAUUCCUUCCUCUAUUCCGUUGGUGAUGAGAUGGUCUAUGAGCUGCUUCUGUUCACACUACACACAGACAAACACAGGACGGACUUUAAAAAGAACUCAAAUGUCAGACUCAGGACGUGGAAUGAUACCUUCAGUUCCGUUUUACUUUUACGUGAGCUCCGUCUUAUUGGAAAGAAGUCUGUAACUUUGCGGUUCUGGGAGUUCUUGCCUCGGGCGCUGUGCAGGAGGAAUGUUAAACGUAUGACGACUGAGCGGACAUCGGGAGUGAAAAAUGCGUGCUUACGUUGUCUUGGCCUUGAUCCUGGCGGAGGUUGCCCUUGCCUGGCGGCGCCAGCGGGCGUCAUUUGGGUUGCUGCUGUGCAGAGAGGCGGGAGGAGGUCUGCCGGGAAGCUGGGGGUGCUUUUUCAUGGCGCCGUGGGGCUGCAGAGCGGAUGUACAUUCAUCUGGCCAGCAGGGGGAGCACUGGCCUUCUACCUUGGUCUCCAUGCCGUUUGCUCUCCUGCCUGGUGGGGGGCAAUCAAACCAGUUAAAAUAAUAACAAGGUGGUUUCAACAUCACAAAGAGCUUUUUUUUUGUUGUUGUUGCAAAGAUUGCACUACUGUAUACAACAUGUGAAUGGAGAUCAGGUUCCCCAGGCUGGUGAGGUUAGCAUGCUGAUAACUUUGCCACCUUGUGAGGGUUUGCCUUCAUCAGCCGGGCACCCGACUGCUUUCAUAUGUUGCCAUCUUUACAAGAAUGAGUAGAUGUGAGGUUUAGCUCGGAGCUUCGGGUUCCCCUGCCUUUCUCUGUUGUUUUUUGUGUUUCAACAAAACAUAUCUGUGACACGACUCACCUCCACAUUACUGAUGUAUGUUGUAAAUAUUAACAGUCAGUCUAUAGACUUUGAAUGGAGUGCAGUUCCACGGACUGGUGAGGUUAGCAAGCUGAUAACUUUGGCACCUUGUGAGGGUUUGUCUUCAUCAGCCAGACACUAGACUGCUUUCACAUGUUAACAAGUUCAUAUUUCUCUACACAACUCAUUUGGCUGGACGAUUAGCUCAGAGCUUCAGGUUACACUGCCUUUCCUCGUAUUUAAACAAUACAUUUACUGUUCUAUUGCAUUUGCAACACAACUCCCUGUCACUUUAACAAUAUAAUGAUGUUUGACAAUGAAUGGAGUCAAGUUCCAAGGCCAGUUAAGUUAGCAUGUGGGUAACUGUGGCACUUUGAAAGUGGUUUGUUUUCAUCUGCUUGACUUGUGUGGGCCAACAUGCUAAUAUUUCUCUACCCCAAUCAGUAGGCCGGACAAUUAGCUCAGAGCUUCAUGUUCCAAUGCCCCUCAUUGUGCCAUUUAAUAGUCUGUAGUGUUGCGCUACAAGCCAAAACAUAAACACAUGUUCAUACCACCUCCCUGCCUCUGGAUGCAGUUCUUCUGGGAGCACGGUGGAGAACGUCUUCCCUCCUCCGGCACCAUGUUAAUGGUGUUGUCAUCCUGAACUUGGGGUGUCGACACAGCGCAGCUUGAAAUGGUGACACAGUGUUUACUGCAUACGAUUUCCUGUGAAGGACAGAGACAACCAGCAACCACAUGCGAAUCAGAUCCAUGCCGUACAUGUGCAAACUUUAAUGGAACUCCAAAUGUUUGUUAUUGUUGUCUUUCAACAAAUACAUAAGUGGGUGGAGCUCGUGGGUGGGGCCACGCCCACUCACAUUUCCAUUUAAACUGUUAGCCAAACCAAUAAUAGGCCCAACGUGACACACAAACAUCCACCUAGGAGGAAGAACAACCCGCUAAAGUGAAACUCAAAUGUAGUUAAUAGGAUGUUCUUUGGUUUAAAAUCAAGUUAAGACUGACUUUUGCUAACCGUAAAAAGUUAGCUUAGAGGCAUGAGUAGCUCAUGUUAGCUUGCUUGUCAACGAGGAUGCUGCCGUUCGAAUCCCUUCCGAACGAAUUAAAGCCCGACUUCUGGGGGACAAAUUAAACUAGAAAGUCCCAUAUAAGCGCCCAUAAGUCGUUGAUGAUACAUUUAUUCCAGUUUACCUGCGAGUUGAGGCAGCAAUAAAAAGCAGCCUUACCCCGUUCAUGUCCGACUAGUUACCGAGGCUCCACGCUUAGCUCUCUCCCUUGUCCCGUCCCUUCGAGGACACAAUCCCUCAAAAGGAAAGCCAGCUCCGAGUCGAGUAAUGUCCCUCUUCACACGGCAGAACCCCACCAACAACCCGCUUAUGCCCGCGGUCUUUCUGCCGUGUUCAAACUACGAGCAGCUCAACCUACCGAGCGGCAUCCACUGCUACUACUUGUACGCCAUUUUUCUACAUGUAAAUGGAAAUACCACCCCGUCAGGCCGGUAGCGGUAUUACAACAUUUUUUCAUUAUCGUUCCAAAACGAAGCAAUUCAGUUGUAAAGCAUGUAUUAUGUUCAUGUUCAAUUUCACUGUUAUUUUUAUUUUGUAUGUGAUAUUUCAGCUGAACUCACCGCUCUCAAGUCAGUCACCAGUAGGGUUGGGCAUCGUUUGAAUUUGAGCGAUUCCGAUUCUUCCUUUCGACUCAGGUUCCUUACGAUUCUCCAUUCCGAUUACUUUCAGGAGGUAGGGUCAUAAAAGUUUGCAUGGUUUAAAUGAGGGCGCUAACCAAAGUUCUUGGAUGAAAUGUCUGAAUGGCUCCAUUGUUUUUUUUUAAAUGAUGUGACCUUUUGAUGAAUGACUUGACUAUGAAUUUCUCACAGGGCUAUUUUCAACCAGUACACAAACAUCAAUAUACAAGUACUGGACAAGUCUCGUUACACAGGAGUACGCGUUCACAAACGACUUUUAUUUCUGAAAAGCUCAUGAAAGGACAAUAAGACAUAUCCUGUUGUUUAUGUGUUGGAGAGUGUCUUAUGAUGCAGAACAGAUAAAGUGUAGCUCAACAAUGCAAGUACGGUGAAUGGAGUAACACAAAACGCGGGGUCUGGUCAACUUCCUGUCUAUGGAAAAGAACACAGCCUUACGUUAGCUGGGUAUUUGAGUUGGCCACUGUAUGCGCAGUAUAAAGUAUCAUUUGUUUGCUGCUUCAAUGUUGGUAUAAGAUGGACACAAUUUAUCGUUUGACUUACCUGACUGGUUGGAAGGAGUCAAAAACGGGGCACUAGGCACACCGUGAAUGCGGAGGUGUUUAAUCCUGUUAGUGGUGCGCCUUCCUUUGCAUGAUAUGUUGCACUGCGCAGACCGUUCAUUUUCCUUGCAGAAUUUCAGCCAAACUUUGGAGUGCUGUCGCACACUGUCCAUGGGUGAAGGGGAUGAACUCAAAAUGCUUCCUGACACUUUUUUCUGCGUUGGAGUUAUGUGGC